rnacentral:rRNA from 1 species
GAUGAACGCUGACAGAAUGCUUAACACAUGCAAGUCUUUGGCGAAGCUGUGCUUGCACAGCCUAGCCAAGGCGGACGGGUGAGUAACGCGUAAGGAACUUGCCCUGCAGUCAGGGAUAACAGACGGAAACGACUGAUAAGACCUGGUAAAGUCAGGCGGACUCAUGUCCAGCCUGAUGAAAAGAGAUGCUGCAGGAGAGCCUUGCGUCCUAUUAGCUUGUUGGUGGGGUAACGGCCCACCAAGGCGAUGAUAGGUAGCCGGCCUGAGAGGGUGGACGGCCACAAGGGGAAUGAGAUACGGCCCUUACUCCUACGGGAGGCAGCAGUGGGGAAUAUUGGACAAUGGGGGCAACCCUGAUCCAGCAAUUCGGUGUGCACGAUGAAGGUUUUCGGAUUGUAAAGUGCUUUCAGCAGGGAAGAAAAAAUGACGGUACCUGCAGAAGAAGCGACGGCUAAAUACGUG